rnacentral:rRNA from 1 species
GAUGAACGCUGGCGGCGUGCUUAACACAUGCAAGUCGAACGGGAUCCAUCAAGCUUGCUUGGUGGUGAGAGUGGCGAACGGGUGAGUAAUGCGUGACCGACCUGCCCCAUACACCGGAAUAGCUCCUGGAAACGGGUGGUAAUGCCGGAUGCUCCAGUUGAUCGCAUGGUCUUCUGGGAAAGCUUUCGCGGUAUGGGAUGGGGUCGCGUCCUAUCAGCUUGACGGCGGGGUAACGGCCCACCGUGGCUUCGACGGGUAGCCGGCCUGAGAGGGCGACCGGCCACAUUGGGACUGAGAUACGGCCCAGACUCCUACGGGAGGCAGCAGUGGGGAAUAUUGCACAAUGGGCGCAAGCCUGAUGCAGCGACGCCGCGUGAGGGAUGGAGGCCUUCGGGUUGUAAACCUCUUUUAUCGGGGAGCAAGCGAGAGUGAGUUUACCCGU